rnacentral:rRNA from 1 species
GAUGAACGCUAGCUACAGGCUUAACACAUGCAAGUCGAGGGACCGGCGCACGGGUGAGUAACACGUAUCCAACCUGCCCUUUACUCGGGGAUAGCCUUUCGAAAGAAAGAUUAAUACACGAUAUAAAGGAUGGGGAUGCGGUCCAUUAGGUUGUUGGUGAGGUAACGGCACACCAAGCAUUCGAUGGAUAGGGGUUCUGAUAGUAAGGUCCCCCGCAUUGUAACUGAGACCCCGUCCAACAUCCUACGGGAGGCAGCAGUGAGGAAUAUUGGUCAAUGUGCGCUAUCCUUAACCAGCCAAGUAGCGUGAAGGAUGAAGGCUUAUGGGUCGUAAACUUCUUUUAUAUAAGAAUAUGUAUUAUAUGAAUAAGGAUCGGCUAACUCCGUGCCAGCAGCCGCGGUAAUAC